rnacentral:lncRNA from 1 species
UGGUGAUGGCGAUAGAGGCUCCUAACAUCUUCUGUUUUAUGUUGGCUCCAGAGAAAGCUAAUUCUUUGAAGGUGGCCAUGAAUCCGGCUCCAAUCCUAAGUGAUAGAUUUAAGAGAUAACUGAAUAGAAUAAUUUUCAUUUUGAGUAUCAUCUUUGCUCCUCUGAUGCAACAGAUACUGGACAUGAGUGCUCUUAUUCUGUAUUGAAAUUCAUUUCUGCUCUCAUGUGGAAAAAAAAUCCCUUCAAAUACUAAAUGCAUAUGUAGGUUAGGGAAUGAAACAAAAGAGGGUUAUAUGAAAGUCUGUCCUAAAGAGUAAUGGCCCCAAAGCAGAUCAUUUCCCAAAACUGUCACUCUAUCUAUGCUUGUAAGGUUGGUAAGAAAAUGGGUCUAUAAUUUUUAUGUUUCUCUUGGAGGUGAAGUAAAUUAACCUGCUACAUUUGUAUCUGUGGAUUCAUUCAGCGAUAACAUACAUUUUUUUAUUCACCUGGUCAUCUGGGCUAUUGGCUUUUUUUCCCAUAAAUCUCCCUCCAAAUAAACAUUUACCCCUGCCUGGCUGGUUCAGUUUCUGAAAAAUAUCUGUUUUGAAAAGUUCUCUUCUCUACCUAUCAGAAAUCAUUACUCCAUUUUAUAUUAUUUCUAUUCUUUAGUUUAAGGCAAUCUCUUCUCUAUGCUUGUGACUUAGAUGCUUUCAUAACUGCCCCCCCCCACCCUUGCCACCGAGGAGUGAAGUGGGGAGUAGGGGGUAUUUGAAAGGUAGAAAAAUGUUUCUAAGCAAGAAAGGAAAGUUUGCAAGCAGUUACAAAGGCCAUAAUUUAGGACCAAGAAGUAAACUUUGUACUUGCUGUCAUUCUAGAUAGUUCCCCAUGGGCCUCGUAUCCCUCAUUGCUCCUUCCCACCUGUAUCCCUGGUGGGAGAUUCUGAUGCCUAAGCAUUUAGUUCAGAGCCCUUUUUGCCAAGACCUAAACCCACAUUGCCUCCUAACAUGUCCCGCAUUGUGGUGCCACAUGACCCACCUGGCCACCGCCCCCCCCCAACUCUUUUGGACUGUCUACAUGACUCCUCUUUCCAGAAAGGGAGUUCAAAGCUGUGACAAAGCAUCUUUUCUAUUUAAUCUUACUCUGAAAACAACCCUAAAGAGUUUACUGUAGGCCAGGAGGCUACUUUCCCAAUGUUCUGUUGUAUGUGUUUUUCCUGUCCCUCCCUUGCUUCCAUUUUGCUGCCAACAAAGAGAGGUGUGACCUACUCAAACCAAGGACAUUGGCUUUGCGUCAAUGUUUUCUCCUAUGUCCAAGGACUGGAGGGUGGGGGCAAAGGGGCAUAGUUGCUCAGCCCAAGACUAUAUUAAUGAGGCACCCCAAGGCUUAUCUGGGGCUAUAGAAGGGGGCGGGUAAUUUAGAUGACACAUUUGGGGAAUUCUCUGGAGCACUUUCCCAAAUGCAGGGCAUUUUACAGGUAGGGGUGCCUCUUGGUGGACCCCUCUCCAUCUGAACAUUCUUGGGAAAUACAGAAAAUCAUUCAUCUAGUGAACUAGGUCUUGUCCUCAAAAUUCUGCUUUCACCUCUGAGCUUACCUCUUCUGGGUGCCUCCCCAAUCCUCCAAGGUCAUAGUGAGAGGAACAGUGAAGAUUCACCCAUUUUCUUUUCUCCUGGGACCUCAAACGAGGCUCUACAUAUUCCACUGAAAUCGCUAAUUUAUUUUUAAAGGGCCAAUCCUUUGAGGGUAGGAACCCAUAUCUUCUCUGACUUUGCCACUGUCCCAGGGGUAGACGGAUCAUGCUGGUGAAGGAGAGGAGUGAGACUCAUGGUCACCCAGGCCACUGAGUACUCUGCCAGGCGGCAGAAUCCCUUGUCUCACUUUCUCUUUAAACUAGAUAGUCUCAAUAAAUUGAUUACAGCCAGCACGAGAACCUUUCUCUGUCUUGAAAAUUCCUACAAGGCCUUUCUAACAGGUUCUUUGAACUCUUCUCUGACUUGUUUUCCUAAGCUCUGGGCUCCCUAGGCUGAGGUAAGUACUCCCACCUCUGUGUUCCCAUGGUGAUGGUCCUUUGAACAAGUGACACUAUUUGAAAAUCGCUUUUCCGUGAGCCCUCCCUGAGCUCCUUGUAUCGAGCUCAGACGCCCACAGAAUGCUUCUCCAAGAUUUAUCUGGCCGGAUCAAUGCCCGGAGGCCAGUGUUGGAAAGCUGCUUUUGAUGCCGAGGCCACGCAGUGGUGACCUGAGGACGCGUGGCUGCGCUCGGACCACCACCACGCGAUGCCCUGAUGGCGGACGAGCCAGGUCAGCCUCUCCCUUCACUUCCCCUCGCUAUGUUACCUGCGUUUUCUAGAGGGUUCUUCCCUUCCGCGCAUCAUCUUCCCUUCCUUUUUAUGAGCUCUCAGGGUCUCUCCAUUCAUUCUCUUCUUUGAGUUGCCACGUCCCUAACACUCCCCCCAGUCCUUAAGUCAUCCCUCGGUUCCUUUCCCACUUUUUUUCUUCCCCACGCCCCCUGGAUCUUUGGUUCCCAGCACUGAUCCCUCUUAGCUAGUGAUUUUACUUCGUGUCUCCGCUCCUUUGCCAACCCUAACCUCAUCGCUCUCCAUUUCUAGGAUUUUCCCUCUUUGCCUCUCGGCUUCCAAGGUCAAGGCAAUACCUGAACAGCCACUUCGCUGCAAGAGCAAGACUGCACCGCUUGCUUCCAGCGGCGGGGGGCAGGGGCAUCUUGCAAAGAUCAAAAAAUCUGCAGCGCCUCCUGUAGGAGCAGCUGCCGGCGUCAGCCCUGAACCCGGGCCGGUGAAGAGCAGAGGCGGGAGAAGGCAAUAAGAGAAAUUCUUCCAAAGAGUCUCUUCAAUCAAUGGGAAUAAUUUUAGUCCAUCGUGCUUAUAAACUGGUUUGCAGGAUAUUUUCCCAAAGAACAAUAGAGAAAAUGAAAUGAACCAUUCAGAACUGUGUCCUGAAGUUUACCAAGAUUUUAGGGCUGGACUGUUUUCAACAGCCAAGACAUGGAAACAACCUAAAUGUCCAUCGACAGAGGAGUGGAUCAAGAAGGUGUGGUAUAUAUAUACACAAUGGAAUAUUACUCAGCCAUUAAAAGAAAUGAAAUACCAGCAUUCUUAGCAACAUGGAUGGACCUAGAAAUUAUCAUGCUAAGUAAGGUCAGCCAUACAAUGAGACACUAACAUCAAAUGCCUUCACUGACAUGUGGAAUCUGAAAAAAGGACAGAUGGAACUUCUUUGCAGAACAGAUGCAGACUUACAGACUUUGAAAACCUAAUGGUCUCCAGAGGAGACAGUUUGGGGGAUGGAAGGAUGUGCUUGGGUUGUGGGAUAGAAAUCCUGUGAAAGUGGAUUGUGAUGAUCAUUAUACAACUACAGAUGUGAUAAAUUCAUUGAGUAAUAAAAACAAACAAAAC